GAUGAAGAACGCAGCGAAAUGCGAUAAGUAAUGUGAAUUGCAGAAUUCAGUGAAUCAUCGAAUCUUUGAACGCACAUUGCGCCCGCCAGUAUUCUGGCGGGCAUGCCUGUCCGAGCGUCAUUUCAACCAUCAAGCCCCCGGGCUUGUGUUGGGGACCUGCGGCUGCCCGCAGGCCCUGAAAACCAGUGGCGGGCUCGCUGUCACACCGAGCGUAGUAGCAAUCACCUCGCUCAGAGCGUGCUGCGGGUUCCGGCCGUUAAACAGCCUUACAAAACCCAAGGUUGACCUCGGAUCAGGUAGGAAGACCCGCUGAACUUAAGCAUAUCAAUAAGCGGAGGA
rnacentral:misc_RNA from 1 species